rnacentral:rRNA from 1 species
GCUUACACAUGCAAGUCGAACGGAAACGAUACUAGCUUGCUAGUAGGCGUCGAGUGGCGGCCGGGUGAGUAACGCGUAGGAAUCUGCUUGAUAGUNGGGGAUAGCCCGGAGAAAUCCGGAUUAAUACCGCAUAAUCUUGAUAAAGUAAAGAAGGCCUCUAGUUAUAUAUGCUUUCGCUAUCAAAUGAGCCUGCGUAAGAUUAGCUAGUUGGUGAGGUAAAAGCUCACCAAGGUGACGAUCUUUAGCUGGUCUGAGAGGAUGAUCAGCCACACUGGAACUGAGACACGGUCCAGACUCCUACGGGAGGCAGCAGUGGGAAUAUUGGACAAUGGGCGCAAGCCUGAUCCAGCAAUACCGCGUGUGUGAAGAAGGCCUGAGGGUUGUAAAGCACUUUCAAUUAGGAAGAAAAAAUAAUGGUUAAUAUCUAUUAUUUUUGACGUUACUUUUAGAAAAAGCUCUCCGGCUNACUCCGUGCCACCAACCCGCGGUAAUACGGAGGGUGCCAAGCGUUAAAUCGGAAUUCCCUGGGCGUAAAGCGUGCGUAGGUGGUUUAUUAAGUCAGAUGUGACAAGCCCUGGGCUCAACCUAGGAACUGCAUUUGAAACUGGAAAACUAGAGUAUAGGAGAGGAAAGUGGAAUUUUCUGGUGUAGCGGUGAAAUGCGUAGAUAUCAGAAGGAACAUCAAUGGCGAAGGCAGCUUUCUGGACUAAUACUGACACUGAGGUACGAAAGCGUGGGUAGCAAACAGGAUUAGAUACCCUGGUAGUCCAUGCCGUAAACGAUGAUAACUAGCCGUUGGGGGGGGUACCCUUUAGUGGCGAAGCUAACGCGUUAA